GAUGAAGAACGUAGCGAAAUGCGAUAAGUAAUGUGAAUUGCAGAAUUCAGUGAAUCAUCGAAUCUUUGAACGCACAUUGCGCCCGCCAGUAUUCUGGCGGGCAUGCCUGUUCGAGCGUCAUUACAACCCUCAGGCCCCCGGGCCUGGCGUUGGGGAUCGGCGGAGCCCCCCGUGGGCACACGCCGUCCGCCAAAUGCAGUGGCGGUCCCGCCGCAGCUUCCAUCGCGUAGUAGCUAACACCUCGCGACUGGAGAGCGGCGCGGCCACGCCGUAAAACACCCAACUCUUCUGAAGUUGACCUCGAAUCAGGUAGGAAUACCCGCUGAACUUAAGCAUAUCAAUAAGCGGAGGA
rnacentral:misc_RNA from 1 species